UACACAUGAUGUUUUUUCACGAUGGUCUUCUGACAGAAAUGAAGACAAUUGCCAAGUGGCAUUACUGAUGUAGAAUA